rnacentral:rRNA from 1 species
AGAUUAUUUCGAUAAUCUUAGUGGCGAACGGGUGAGUAACGCGUGGGCAACCUGCCCUGCAGUGGGGGACAACAGUUGGAAACGACUGCUAAUACCGCAUGACACAUUGGGGUCGCAUGGCCUUGAUGUCAAAGAUUUAUCGCUGAAAGAUGGCCUCGCGUCUGAUUAGCUAGUUGGUGAGGUAACGGCCCACCAAGGCGACGAUCAGUAGCCGGACUGAGAGGUUGACCGGCCACAUUGGGACUGAGAUACGGCCCAGACUCC